GAUGAACGCUGGCGGCGUGCUUAACACAUGCAAGUCGAACGGAAAGGCCCAAGCUUGCUUGGGUACUCGAGUGGCGAACGGGUGAGUAACACGUGGGUGAUCUGCCCUGCACUUCGGGAUAAGCCUGGGAAACUGGGUCUAAUACCGGAUAGGACCACAUUUUGCAUGGUGUGGUGGAAAGUUUUUCGGUGGGGGAUGAGCUCGCGGCCUAUCAGCUUGUUGGUGGGGUAAUGGCCUACCAAGGCGUCGACGGGUAGCCGGCCUGAGAGGGUGUACGGCCACAUUGGGACUGAGAUACGGCCCAGACUCCUACGGGAGGCAGCAGUGGGGAAUAUUGCACAAUGGGCGCAAGCCUGAUGCAGCAACGCCGCGUGGGGGAUGACGGCCUUCGGGUUGUAAACUCCUUUCGCUAGGGACGAAGCGCAAGUGACGGUACCUGAAGAAGAAGCACCGGCUAACUACGUG
rnacentral:rRNA from 1 species